rnacentral:rRNA from 1 species
UACGUAGGGACCGAGCGUUGUCCGGAUUCAUUGGGCGUAAAGGGCGCGUAGGCGGCUCAUGAAGGCUGUGGUGAAAGUCCGGGGCUCAACCUCGGAUCGGCCGUGGCGACUCGUGGGCUGGAGCACUGUAGAGGCGGGUGGAAUUCCGGGUGUAGCGGUGGAAUGCGUAGAGAUCCGGAAGAACACCAGUGGCGAAGGCGGCCCGCUGGGCAGUGGCUGACGCUGAGGCGCGACAGCGUGGGGAGCAAACAGG